GUGACAAUGCGACGCCGCGUGAGCGAUGAAGGCCUUCGGGUUGUAAAGCUCUGUCAGCUGGGAUGAAGACAAGAGGACUAAUAAUCCAUUUGGUUGACGGUACCGGCAAAGGAAGCCACGGCUAACUCCGUGCCAGCAGCCGCGGUAAUACGGGGGUGGCAAGCGUUGUUCGGAUUUACUGGGUGUAAAGGACAUGUAGGCGUCUUAUUAAGUCGGGUGUGAAAUCCCUUGGCUCAACCAAGGAACUGCAUUCGAUACAGAUAAGAUUGAGUACGGGAGAGGUAAGCGGAAUUCCGGAAGUAAGGGUGAAAUCUGUAGAUAUCCGGAGGAACACCAUUAGCGAAGGCGGCUUACUGGUCCGAUACUGACGCUGAAAUGUGAAAGCUAGGGGAUCAAACAGGAUUAGAUACCCUGGUAGUCCUAGCUGUAAACGAU
rnacentral:rRNA from 1 species